rnacentral:rRNA from 1 species
AUUGAACGCUGGCGGCAGGCCUAACACAUGCAAGUCGGACGGUAGCACAGAGAGCUUGCUCUUGGGUGACGAGCGGCGGACGGGUGAGUAAUGUCUGGGAAACUGCCUGAUGGAGGGGGAUAACUACUGGAAACGGUAGCUAAUACCGCAUAAUGUCGCAAGACCAAAGAGGGGGACCUUCGGGCCUCUUGCCAUCAGAUGUGCCCAGAUGGGAUUAGCUAGUAGGUGGGGUAACGGUUCACCUAGGCGACGAUCCCUAGCUGGUCUGAGAGGGUGACCAGCCACACUGGAACUGAGACACGGUCCAGACUCCUACGGGAGGCAGCAGUGGGGAAUAUUGCACAAUGGGCGCAAGCCUGAUGCAGCCAUGCCGCGUGUAUGAAGAAGGCCUUCGGGUUGUAAAGUACUUUCAGCGGGGAGGAAGGUGCUGAGGUUAAUAACCUCAGCAAUUGACGUUACCCGCAGAAGAAGCACCGGCUAACUCCGUGCCAGCCGCCGCAGUAA